rnacentral:rRNA from 1 species
UACGAAGGGGGCUAGCGUUGUUCGGAAUUACUGGGCGUAAAGCGCACGUAGGCGGGUCGUUAAGGCAGGGGUGAAAUCCCGGAGCUCAAAUCCGGAACUGCCUUUGAUACUGGCGAUCUAGAGAUCGAGAGAGGUGAGUGGAAUUCCGAGGGUAGAGGUGAAAUUCGUAGAUAUUCGCAAGAACACCAGUGGCGAGGGCGGCUCCCUGUCUCGAUAAUGACUCUGAGGCGCCAAAGCGUGGGGUGUAAACAGG